GAGAUUGAUAGCCGUUAAUAUAAUUCAUAAUUUUUUUUCCUCAGCUGAAUUCUGUGGACAAUUGCACUUUACUGAGCUUUUUAAGGUGGUCUUUCGUUUACAGAGUCAUAUGAUUUGCAAAACUAGUAGUAAAAUAGCAUUAGAUUUGGUUAAGAUCAAAGUUGAAGAACACAAGGAACUCUCACAGUACAGUCUUUGAGAUAAAAUGAUUAAAACCACUUUGACCUGUAAAAAUGGUCUUAAGGAAAGUAAGACACUUUCUCCUUAUGCAGUCAUUGUAGGGUUUUUUAGCACACAAAUGUCAUGCAGAUUCACUUUCCAAGUACUGAAAUAAUGACUUAUUUUAACCUGAAAAAUACAUUGUUGAUCAUAGACGUCCUAUAACUUUCUAGUGAAUUAUUUUGCAGAUCUCCUAGUAUCUUCAGUAAUGAAAGAGGAUGAAAAUGCUAACCAGAGGUCUAAGGCAGAGGAGGUGUACCUGUGUGAACAUCAGGAGGGGAGUUCAAAGAUGUCACCAUUUAGGAGUAGAUGUGGAUCCACAAAGAGGUCAAGAAACUCUUCCACUGUGAAACUUGAAAUAAAACUUCAAGAAUCUGAUGAUGAAUAUGAUCUUGUCAUUGAUGUGCCACCACUCACUGUUAAUAAAAAGCCAAGAAUAACUAGGAACUGUGAAAACUGUAAUAAGGAAGAAAAGCUGGCUGCUAUAAUAUGUGCAGAAAAACUGCAUGCUAGUGACAUAGCAAACAGUCCUUCCAAGUGUACGGUAGAAAAAUCAGAGGAAAUGGUCACUUUACAAAAGAAUGGCAGAGAUUUAAAUAAGUCUAAAAAACUAGAUGAUGUUUCUCCAGAAAUUAGUAAGAUAUAUUUGCCUGAUGUAAACAUCAAAAUACCAAAGGUUUCAGAUAAUCUUAAGGAGAAAAGAAAUGCCCUUGCUUAUUCCAAGGAAAAAUGUAUGUCUUCAGCUAUUUGUAUUGAAGCAGAUAUGCAGAAGGAAAUUCUGAAACAAAAGAAUGCAGAAACUAAUAUGCUGGUUGAAGCAUCUGUUCAGGGACAUAGCACCAAUGAAAACUGUCUGACUAGCAAAAGAGCAGCACAAUCUGUCUUGAACACUGACUACUCAUCAAAAGAUGAAACUGUAUUAGGAGAUUGUAAAGAAACAACAGUAAAUACAGGAAAAAUUCAGAGCAUAGAAGAAAAUAAAGGUAAUGAUAUUGUAGAAGAUACAUACCCUCAUCUGACUGAUUACUUAAAUGUAGGCAAGGAGGCUUGCCAUAAUACAGGUCUGACCAAAAGGAGUAAUAAAAAAAAUUUCGUUGAAACUGCAUGUGCAAACAAAGAAAGUGAAAUGACUGUAUUUAGUUCAUCUUCUGAGGAAAUGGAAUCUAGUGAAGGGGAUACGGAGCUCUCAGAAUCAGAUGAUCCUAUAGAAGAGUGUCGGAGAAUUUUCUAUGAAUUUGAAAGAGAAGCACAAAAUAAAGGUGAUAAGCAGGUCCUUGGAGGAAACAUGGAUCUAGAUUUAUUAGAAACAAAAGUGAAUGUUCCUGGACAAAAGAAAAGAAUUGCACACACUGCAAAAUUUGAGGUGAGUUAUAACCUUCUAAUAGGCUAAGGUUUGACAUAGCUUUGUUUAAUAUCAGUAGACUCAUGUUGACUUCAGGUUGGCUGAGGUUCUGUCUUGUAAUCUAAUUGUAAAAAUGUUUUGAAAUGACUCAAAACAAAUUCCUCAUAAUUGCUUCUGCUAAAAGUUGUUGCAAAUACGUAAUCCUGCAGUACCUA
ensembl:lncRNA